UAUGUAUUUGGCGGCCGCGGUAAUACGUAGGGAGCAAGCGUUGUCCGGAUUUACUGGGUGUAAAGGGAGCGUAGGCGGGAUGGCAAGUCAGAUGUGAAAACUAUGGGCUCAACCCAUAGACUGCAUUUGAAACUGUUGUUCUUGAGUGAGGUAGAGGUAAGCGGAAUUCCUGGUGUAGCGGUGAAAUGCGUAGAGAUCAGGAGGAACAUCGGUGGCGAAGGCGGCUUACUGGGCCUUUACUGACGCUGAGGCUCGAAAGCGUGGGGAGCAAACAGG
rnacentral:rRNA from 1 species